UACGUAGGGUGCAAGCGUUAUCCGGAAUUAUUGGGCGUAAAGAGCUCGUAGGCGGUUUGUCGCGUCUGCUGUGAAAACCCGAGGCUCAACCUCGGGCCUGCAGUGGGUACGGGCAAACUAGAGUGGCGGUAGGGGAGAUUGGAAUUCCUGGUGUAGCGGUGGAAUGCGCAGAUAUCAGGAGGAACACCGAUGGCGAAGGCAGAUCUCUGGGCCGUAACUGACGCUGAGGAGCGAAAGCAUGGGGAGCGAACAGG
rnacentral:rRNA from 1 species